AUGGAGAAUGCAAUUCUAUCAAGUAGGCUGUUGCGCAGCUUCCCAGCUUUGUCCGAUGACUCCUCCGGGCAAAUUGUGAUGACUCAGUCCCCGGAAUCUCUGCAAGUGCCAGUGGGAGGGAGAGUCUCUAUCAACUGCAAAGCCAGUACAAGCGUUGGCAGUAGCGUACACUGGUACCAACAGAAACCUGGGCAAGCUCCCAAACUUCUUAUCUAUGGCGCUAGCAACCUCCAGUCUGGGGUCCCAGCCCGGUUCAGCGGCAGUGGAUCUGGCACUGAUUUCACAUUCACAAUCAGCAACGUUGAAGCUGAAGAUGCUGGAGAUUAUUACUGCCAGCAGAGUUACAGCUACUCUUUCACAGUGAUACAGACCAAUACAAAAACCUCCCUGCACUAUAAAUUGCAGUUACUGCUUCCUGCAGAUACAACUGUGUAG